UGGAAGUGGAGGUAAGGGUAUCUUGCUGGAGAUCCCAGUCUACUUGAGUUCUUCUAAAGAUGAGAUCCUAGAGCAAACCCUCAGCCUGCAGGAGUCUUCCAAAAAAGUUGUUAGAAGAGACAUCAUCAUUAUGAUGGUGAUAGGAUUUGUCAGGUACUGGAGAUGGGAUAGUUUGAAAAUUGAAGACUGGAAAGAGUGACUUAGAAAGAAGCAAGCACUUAUUAGUCCACAGCAGUGUUCCUAGGGAGCUGUUCAUCCAAAGAACAACUAUCCUGGAAAACAGACUAGUGUCAGUGUUGGCUGUCAACCUGGAAAAAACUAGCACAGUGCGGAGGAAGCGUUGACCCCUUUUUUGGUUCUCAUCAGCAUGGGAGGCUUGCAGAAUAUUACACGGACAUCUAGAAGAAAGAAGUUAAAAUUUUGAAAUACUUCAGCGAUGUGAUCAGCAGACAGUAGUGGGAAAGAAUUUCUCUUAAACUUGAAUUGUGAUCAAAAUAAGGAAGGAAGAUCUGAAAGACCAGAAAAUAUCUUUGUUAAUCAGGAUAUGGCACUUUCCAACAUCUGGAUGUCAAAACACUUGUUUUGAAUUCAAUACUAUUAACAUGUGUCACUUAAAUGAAUUUUUUUCCUCCAGAGCCAAUUGGGUGGCUACGAUGUUUGGCCAAGUUUUUGCAGUCUGUUGCUUACAUUACCUGACCUGUGGUCUGUUUGUCUUACGAUCUCUGUGGGAAAAAACAGCAAGAGUCCUCAACCCUGCCCACCCCCACUCUGCCCACCCAAAAAAAGCAAUACCACAAAGCCCUGAAAAUAAAUCAGAACCCAGAAACAAAGUUCUAGGAUGAAGUCUCAUCCUUCCACUGAACCUUUUUGACCGGAUGGUAACCUCAUGGGAUUUCUGUCGCUUUUGCCUGUGACAUCAUAUAACAUCAAAUCAUCUGAUUCUUCUGAAUAUCAUUGAGGCAUGAUUAAACUGAAUACAACAACUUGGGAAUCCAGCAAAAAAAGAAAAAAGUUUGAAUAAAAGGUCAGACAAAGAUCAGGCAUCAGCUCUCGCUCUUUGCAAAAUGAUAAAACUAACAGGGAAUGACUCAGCUAGCCCUGAUGAAAAAGCUCCUUUCUUUGCAGUGUAAACAACACAGUCGGUGUUCUUGAAAUCCCAGACUGAAACAUCAACCAGCACUGGAAAAUACGAUAUCCCAGAAUGCCUUCCCUGUCCUGGGUAUAACCCGUCACCAGCAUUUCAGGGGAUCUUAUUCACUGUGACUGGGACUAACUACUCAAAAAAGACUGUUGCAUGAGUAAAAGGGAAAAAAGCUUGUGUGUGGACUGACCUCGAGAGUGUGAAGCAAAUAUUUUGUUUCAAAUCAACUUUUGACCCAUUUCAGCAAUAAAUUGAGUGACCAGUAAUUGAAACCAGGAAAAAGAGAGAGAAAAAGGAGGUAAAUGUGGCUUUGAAGGAAUGAAUUAAGGAUCAGAGUAACAAAGAGUAUCUCUUCACACUGAAACUUGGUGUCUAAUUUUUUUGCUGAAUAACUUGUUUUGAAGAAUAAGAGACUUCUGCUCUUGCCAGGUCCCUACAGCUAGGUUUUAUGGUUACAACGAGCAAGUAUGCAUCUGUGUAAACGUUCCUUAAUUUUCUGUUUUACAUUGUAUUUACAUUGCUCAGACAGUAAAACCACUGAAUGUUUUAAUUAGCUCUCCCAUGGCUCUGAAAACAUUUGAAAUUUACAUGUAGUGUGAAAAGACUGGAGGAACAAAUAAAGGCUAAGUGCUCACAAACGUGGUGAAAUGCUUAAAGUGCACCAGUUGUAUGUGGUUUGGGUUCGGGACAGGACAAAGGAAGUUUGGCAUGUGGUGGGUGUUGGAUUCCACAGCCCUCACACAGACCCAGCCCAUGUGUGGGCAGGAUGCUUAGGAAUCACAUUAGCUUUGGCAAAACGAUGCCCAGAAACAAAUAUGAGGGUAGGGUUGCAAAGGGAUGGGAAUGGCUGCUGCUUGAUCCUGCUUGAAGGACCAGCAUUUGUCAUUUGCUGAAGAAGAGUUUCUCCCAAAUGUUUUCAGAGACUCAUCAGAGGGGCUGCUAAAAAGGUCUCACGUCAUUAGACAAAUGAAAGCUUUCUAUGGAAUCACUGUUCUAAUAGGGAAUCAUUGUUUUUAGUGCAAUUUUCAUAGACUCAUAGAAUAAAAGAGGUUGGAAGAAACUUCGAGAGAUUGUGCUCAUUAAGAGCAGUAUUUUGCAUGUCAAUGUGGAGUUGACAAAACCUGCCAAUGAAUCUCUCUUGUCUUUGUUCUGAGGAUACAUGUAACUAUGCAAAUGCUCUAACACUAGGCUGUCAUGCUAUUUUAGUCAUAAUUCAGCUUUCAGGGUAUUUUUGAGCCUCUGUGCUGACUCUGCCAAUGCAGUAGCUAAUUAAUAAAGAACCACUGGAAGAGGACUGAAAGGGAUGAUCAAAUGCAUCCACCUUAAUGAGGCAGGACCAACAAUCUUAAUGCUAUGUGCACUUGCUGUGCUUGCAAUUAGACGUUUGUCUCCAAAGACCUAAACUGAAACCGUUAAUGGAGCCAUGGCUUUUUGUAAUGUUCCUGGAACUCUCAUAUCUUAGAUUAUAAUCUGAUAAUGAGCGAUCGUCCUUAGCUUGCAUUUAGCGUCUCUUGCAAAGCAAAGAAGUGAUCUUUCACUUGGGGCUGGAGAUAAAAGAAGGAUUAAGUUGGGGCACAUAGAAGUCAUAUUCAGGGAUUUGUUUUAAAAGGCUGGCAAUUCGUUAAAGUUAUAAUUCAAGGGAACUGUAGAAAAAUUAUGGCCAUUUUUAUUAAAGUUAUUGAUUUUUGUAGUUUGAAUCCUCAAAUGUUAAUGUUAUUACAUUGUUCUAGAUGAGGUCUGAUUUGAGGUCAAUUUCUGAGUUUUGCCAUCUUGUGGCCUGGUGCUGCACUGCGACCACCCUUCCUGUUCCAUCUGCAGAUGCAGCAGCUUUGAAACAACGUGCUUUCAUAAAGAUCUCACAACAGUCUCUGACUGGUCUUUUCUAUAAUCUGCAGUUUUUCUUAGGUUUAGGGCUUCAUCCAAUACUGUUUCUCUUUCUGCUUCUCCAGUUCUCAGCAGAAAGCCAUGCCAUUCCCAGUCAGGGCUGUGAGUGAGAUGGGGAUCCACAUCUCUUUCCUAGCCUGAUCCCUUGUGCCAUUUGCUACUUAUACAGGCAUGAUCGCCUCACUCUUGAAACUGUGACUGAAUUUGAAAAACCAUUCUAGUUCAUUGCAGUUUUCAGUCUACCUCAGAUACUGCUUUGACUGCGCUAGGACCAAUUCUUCAUAGACUUUUAUAGUCAGCUAUAAAGUUUCUGUCUUCCUUCCUUUAGUUUCCUCUACCCAUCCUUCUUGCAACUAUUUACUUUAAGCAUAGAAUAUUCAAUCAGAGAUGCUGCACCUCAGGAUCACACAGACCUCAAAGGAAAGUGCUAUGUUUCUAUCACUUGUUUUUAUUGCAGGACUCAACCUACAAGAGUAAAAUAAAUAAAUCUUUCAGUUACAACAGCUCUUUCUUAAUUUUUCUAUUCUAUGCUUUUGGGGCAAGUGCGAUGUUAGUGUUAUAGCAUCGUGCUUAAAGGUGCUGGAGAAUGAUUAAGGUGAACACUGCGAGCUUCUGAUCCAAGUUUAUUGGCUUUCAGUACGUUAGUUAAGAGAAUUCAGGUCUCUUGCAUUAGCUCUGUCUUAGCAGUCUUCCUUACCGAGAGGUCUCCAUGGAAGACAUAUGAAGUUUUUCUGACUUUCAGUUCUUCUUAGACUUUUCCAGUCCUAGCAGGAGCUGAGUUUUGCUGACAUGAGGAUCCUUCUCUCUCCCAUUUGCCAGAACAAUGUCUUUAUUCUAAGCUUGAAGAACUCGGAGGCCAGUCAAAAAGUUGUCUUGCUAAGUAGUUUAUCUAAGGCUAGCCAGCUGUGGCCUCCUUUCUCCUUGAUAAGCCUGAGGUCCAGUGAAGAAGAACUUGAGUGUAACAAAUCUGAACAGAGUAGCAGUUCUGCUGAAUAGGAAUCCAGUAUUGAGUUCAUACUUCCCCCACAUGUACCAUGAGAAAAAGUAUCUCCUGGAAGUGUAUCAGUCUGCAGACUCAGUUGGAAAAAAGGAGGAAAUGAAAUAGACAAGUUAAAUUGAAGGAGAGGGGAAGAAAAAAAGUUAGGAUUUUCCUUCUCAUAGUUCAUUUAAAGUUUAUUGUUGUUUUGUUUCUUAAAUGGAAAAACAGAGUCAGUUGACACAAUGACUAAAGAAGUUAUUUUUUUGCUCUAGGACUUUGAGUUAUGGCCAGAUACCUGAAUUUUGUGCACCUGCAUGUCUCCUUGGGAUGUUUUUAAAAAGCCUGAACAGUUUAUAGCUGGAAUUAGACUCUGUUGCAUUUUGCAUUGUCUGAUAUAUGAAAACAAAAAUGAACAAACAAACAAAAAUUGAGUGCUAUUAGAUCAUUUGAAGAGAACUUAAAACAAGCUUUACCAAAUUUUUUGUGCUUUAGUUUAUUGUGGCUGCUCUUAGUCUUAGCUUUGGUGAGUUUGUCAUCCUUCUCUUGAAAAAA